CUGGCUCAGAACGAACGCUGGCGGCGUGCUUAACACAUGCAAGUCGAACGCGAAAGGGGACUUCGGUCCUGAGUAAAGUGGCGCACGGGUGAGUAACGCGUAGAUAACCUGUCUUCAUGUCUGGAAUAAUACGCCGAAAGGGGUACUAAUACCGGAUAUUCUUGCUUUUCAUAAGUUAUGCAAGCAAAGGUGGCCUCUGCAUAUGCUACUGCAUGAAGAGGGGUCUGCGUACCAUUAGCUAGUAGGUGGGGUAAUGGCCUACCUAGGCGACGAUGGUUAGCGGGUCUGAGAGGAUGAUCCGCCACACUGGCACUGGAACACGGGCCAGACUCCUACGGGAGGCAGCAGUGAGGAAUAUUGCGCAAUGGGGGAAACCCUGACGCAGCGACGCCGCGUGAAGUGAGGAAGGCCUUCGGGUCGUAAAGCUCUGUCAAGAGGAAAGAAGUGUACAAUGGCUAAUACCUGUUGUAUUUGACGGUACCUCUAAAGGAAGCACCGGCUAACUCCGUGCCAGCCGCAGC
rnacentral:rRNA from 1 species